rnacentral:rRNA from 1 species
GUCUACGGCCAUGCCACCCCGAUCCCAUCUGAUCUUGGAAGCUAAGCAAGGUCAGGCCUGGUUAGUACUUGGAUGGGAGACCACCUAGGAAGGCCAGGUGCUGUAGGUG